rnacentral:rRNA from 1 species
AACCAGACUCCUACGGGAGGCAGCAGUGAGGAAUAUUGGUCAAUGGACGAGAGUCUGAACCAGCCAAGUAGCGUGAAGGAUGACUGCCCUAUGGGUUGUAAACUUCUUUUAUAUGGGAAUAAAACAGGGUAUGCAUACCCUCUUGUAUGUACCAUAUGAAUAAGGAUCGGCUAACUCCGUGCCAGCAGCCGCGGUAAUACGGAGGAUCCGAGCGUUAUCCGGAUUUAUUGGGUUUAAAGGGUGCGUAGGCGGACGCUUAAGUCGGCGGUAAAAUUGCGGGGCUCAACCCCGGCCUGCCGUUGAAACUGGCGGCCUCGAGUGGGCGAGAAGUAUGCGGAAUGCGAGGUGUAGCGGUGAAAUGCAUAGAUAUCACGCAGAACUCCGAUUGCGCAGGCAGCAUACCGGCGCCCUACUGACGCUGAGGCACGAAAGCGUGGGUAUCGAACAGGACUAGAUACCCCAGUAUCC